UCCCCAGUCUGCUCUGUUUGCGGUUUGGU
rnacentral:piRNA from 1 species